CAUGGAUCCCUCGAGUUCAUGCCGGGCAAACAGGUUGGGAUGAGUGAUACCUGCUACCCUGACAGUCUCAUUGGCAACAUCCCCAACAUCUACUACUAUGCAGCAAACAACCCAUCAGAGGCAACCGUCGCCAAGCGCCGGAGCUAUGCAAACACCAUCAGCUACCUGACACCACCAGCUGAGAAUGCCGGUCUCUACAAGGGGCUCAAGCAGCUGUCAGAGCUCAUCUCUUCUUACCAGUCUCUCAAGGACACAGGGCGUGGUCCUCAGAUUGUGAGCUCAAUCAUCAGCACUGCUAAACAGUGUAACCUUGACAAGGAUGUCCCGUUGCCUGAGGAAGGCGAGGAGCUCCCACCGAAGGAGCGGGACCUUAUUGUUGGGAAGGUGUAUGCGAAGAUCAUGGAGAUAGAAUCACGGCUCCUGCCGUGUGGUCUGCAUGUGAUCGGUGAGCCACCAAGUGCUAUUGAGGCUGUGGCCACAUUGGUGAACAUUGCCGCCCUUGACCGCCCAGAAGAGGGCAUAAGCUCACUGCCCAGCAUACUUGCUGCAACAGUGGGCAGGGACAUUGAAGAUGUGUACAGGGGAAGUGACAAGGGCAUACUGGCUGAUGUUGAGCUUCUGAGGCAGAUAACUGAAGCUUCUCGUGGUGCCAUCACUAGCUUUGUUGAGAAGACCACAAACAGCAAAGGGCAAGUCGUAAAUGUCACUAACAAUCUCAGUAACAUUCUUGGCUUUGGUCUCUCAGAACCAUGGGUGCAGUACUUGUCCACGACCAAGUUCAUCAGGGCAGACAGAGAGAAGCUGAGGGUCUUAUUUGGAUUCUUGGGGGAGUGCUUAAAACUCAUUGUGCAAGACAAUGAGCUGGGCAGCUUGAAGCUUGCCCUUGAGGGAAGCUAUGUUGAGCCUGGCCCUGGCGGUGAUCCGAUCCGUAACCCGAAGGUUCUCCCAACAGGGAAGAACAUCCAUGCCCUUGACCCACAGUCCAUCCCAACUGCAGCUGCCCUGAAGAGUGCCAAGAUCGUUGUUGACCGUCUGCUGGAGAGGCAAAAGGCUGACAAUGGUGGCAAGUAUCCUGAGACAGUUGCACUUGUCUUGUGGGGCACCGAUAACAUCAAGACCUAUGGUGAGUCAUUGGCCCAGGUGCUGUGGAUGAUUGGUGUCCGGCCAGUGGCUGACACCUUCGGCCGUGUCAACCGUGUGGAGCCUGUCAGCCUUGAGGAGCUUGGACGUCCAAGGAUUGACGUCGUCGUCAAUUGCUCGGGUGUCUUCAGGGAUCUCUUCAUCAACCAGGUAUGAAUUGAAUACCUCACCACAUUUAAAUUUUGGCUUGUGUGUACUGAAUUUGCAUACACAUCGAGAAUAGAUGCAUUGCUGCACUGGUCUGAACGAUUUAGUUAUGGAACAACGUAUUUUGAUGCGUGCAGAUGAACCUGUUGGACCGCGCAGUGAAGAUGGUCGCUGAACUAGAUGAGCCAGUAGAGAUGAACUAUGUGCGCAAGCAUGCCCAGGAGCAGGCAGAGGAGCUGGGUGUCCCACUAAGAGAGGCAGCAACAAGGGUGUUCUCAAAUGCAUCAGGGUCCUACUCGUCAAAUGUGAAUUUGGCAGUGGAGAAUGCAUCAUGGACCGAUGAGAAGCAGCUCCAGGACAUGUACCUGAGCCGCAAGUCCUUUGCAUUCGACAGUGACGCUCCAGGGGCAGGCAUGAAGGAGAAGCGCAAGGCAUUUGAGCUUGCUCUGGCAACUGCAGAUGCCACAUUCCAGAACCUCGACUCGUCGGAGAUCUCACUGACAGAUGUGAGCCACUACUUCGACUCGGACCCAACAAAGCUGGUGCAAGGGCUGCGGAAGGAUGGACGGGCACCUGCCUCUUACAUAGCAGAUACAACCACAGCAAAUGCACAGGUGAGAACACUGUCGGAGACGGUGCGUCUUGAUGCAAGGACAAAGCUACUGAACCCAAAGUGGUAUGAGGGGAUGAUGAAGAGCGGCUAUGAGGGAGUUAGAGAGAUCGAGAAGCGGCUCACAAACACUGUUGGGUGGAGUGCAACAUCCGGACAAGUUGACAACUGGGUUUAUGAGGAGGC
rnacentral:lncRNA from 1 species